UACGUAGGCAGCAAGCGUUGUUCGGAGUUACUGGGCGUAAAGCGCACGUAGGCGGUUCGUUAUGUCGGAUGUGAAAGCCCUUGGCUUAACCGAGGAAGUGCAUCCGAAACUGGCGAGCUAGAGUACGAAAGAGGAUCGCGGAAUUCCCGGUGUAGAGGUGAAAUUCGUAGAUAUCGGGAGGAACACCGGUGGCGAAGGCGGCGAUCUGGGUCGAUACUGACGCUGAGGUGCGAAAGCGUGGGGAGCAAACAGG
rnacentral:rRNA from 1 species